AACGAACGCUGGCGGCAUGCCUAACACAUGCAAGUCGAACGAGACCUUCGGGUCUAGUGGCGCACGGGUGCGUAACGCGUGGGAACCUGCCCUUAGGUUCGGAAUAACUCCCCGAAAGGGGUGCUAAUACCGGAUAAUGUCUUCGGACCAAAGAUUUAUCGCCUUUGGAUGGGCCCGCGUUGGAUUAGCUAGUUGGUAGGGUAAAAGCCUACCAAGGCGACGAUCCAUAGCUGGUCUGAGAGGAUGAUCAGCCACACUGGGACUGAGACACGGCCCAGACUCCUACGGGAAGCAGCAGUGGGGAAUAUUGGACAAUGGGCGAAAGCCUGAUCCAGCAAUGCCGCGUGAUUGAUGAAGGCCUUAGGGUUGUAAAGCUCUUUUACCCGGGAUGAUAAUGACAGUACCGGGAGAAUAAGCUCCGGCUAACUCCGUG
rnacentral:rRNA from 1 species